rnacentral:rRNA from 1 species
GAUGGUUAGCGGCGGACGGGUGAGUAACACGUAGGCAACCUGCCUGUAAGAUCGGGAUAACUACCGGAAACGGUAGCUAAGACCGGAUAACCGGUUUCUCCGCAUGGAGAGAUCGUGAAACACGGAGCAAUCUGUGGCUUACGGAUGGGCCUGCGGCGCAUUAGCUAGUUGGUGAGGUAACGGCUCACCAAGGCGACGAUGCGUAGCCGACCUGAGAGGGUGAACGGCCACACUGGGACUGAGACACGGCCCAGACUCCUACGGGAGGCAGCAGUAGGGAAUCUUCCGCAAUGGACGCAAGUCUGACGGAGCAACGCCGCGUGAGUGAUGAAGGUUUUCGGAUCGUAAAGCUCUGUUGCCAGGGAAGAACGCCAAGGAGAGUAACUGCUCUUUGGGUGACGGUACCUGAGAAGAAAGCCCCGGCUAACUACGUGCCAGCAGCCGCGGUAAUACGUAGGGGGCAAGCGUUGUCCGGAAUUAUUGGGCGUAAAGCGCGCGCAGGCGGUUUUUUAAGUCUGGUGUUUAAUCCCGAGGCUCAACCUCGGUUCGCACCGGAAACUGGGAGACUGGAGUGCAGGAGAGGAAAGUGGAAUUCCACGUGUAGCGGUGAAAUGCGUAGA